rnacentral:rRNA from 1 species
ACGCUCGACACCUACGGAGGCAGCAGUGGGGAAUAUUGCACAAUGGGGGAAACCCUGAUGCAGCGACGCCGCGUGGAGGAAGAAGGUCUUCGGAUUGUAAACUCCUGUUGUUGGGGAAAAAGAGGAUGGUACCCAACAAGGAAGUGACGGCUAACUACGUGCCAGCAGCCGCGGUAAUCUGAGCGGGCUGGCAAGGC